UACGGAGGGGGCUAGCGUUGUUCGGAAUUACUGGGCGUAAAGGGCGCGUAGGCGGUGUGUCAAGUCAGGCGUGAAAGCCCCGGGCUCAACCUGGGAACAGCGCUUGAGACUGGCACGCUCGAGUUCGGGAGAGGAUGGUGGAAUUCCCAGUGUAGAGGUGAAAUUCGUAGAUAUUGGGAAGAACACCGAUGGCGAAGGCAGCCAUCUGGACCGACACUGACGCUGAGGCGCGAAAGCGUGGGGAGCAAACGGG
rnacentral:rRNA from 1 species